UUUGCGCCGGCAGGUCUUACACGACCAGCUCCUGUCGAACCUCCCCAGGGCCGGAAGGCAGCAAGGAUAGAUGGUUGUAGCGGUGCGAUGUGAGUAGCCUGCCAUUUU
rfam:Sphingobacteriales bacterium 46-32 scnpilot_p_inoc_scaffold_252, whole genome shotgun sequence.